CCUACGGGAGGCAGCAGUGAGGAAUAUUGGUCAAUGGACGAGAGUCUGAACCAGCCAAGUAGCGUGAAGGAUGAAUGCCCUAUGGGUUGUAAACUUCUUUUAUAUGGGAAUAAAAUGUCCCACGUGUGGGAUUUUGUAUGUACCAUAUGAAUAAGGCUCGGCUAACUCCGUGCCAGCAGCCGCGGUUAUAAGGAGGAGUCGAGCGUUAUCCGGAUUUAUUGGGUUUAAAGGGAGCGUAGGGGGAUUGUUAAGUCCGUUGUGAAAGUUUGCGGCUCAACCGCAAAAUUGCAGUUGAAACUGGCAGUCUUGAGUGCAGUAGGGGUGGGCGGAAUGCGUGGUGUAGCGGUGAAAUGCUUAGAUAUCACGAAGAACUCCGAUUGCGAAGGCAGCUCACUGGACUGCAACUGACACUGAGGCUCGAAAGUGUGGGUAUCAAACAGGAUUAGAUACCCCUGUAGUC
rnacentral:rRNA from 1 species